AUUGAACGCUGGCGGAAUGCCUUACACAUGCAAGUCGAACGGCAGCAUAGGUGCUUGCACCUGAUGGCGAGUGGCGAACGGGUGAGUAAUACAUCGGAACGUGCCCAGUCGUGGGGGAUAACGUAGCGAAAGUUACGCUAAUACCGCAUACGAUCUAAGGAUGAAAGCGGGGGACCGUAAGGCCUCGCGCGAUUGGAGCGGCCGAUGUCAGAUUAGGUAGUUGGUGAGGUAAAGGCUCACCAAGCCGACGAUCUGUAGCUGGUUUGAGAGGACGACCAGCCACACUGGGACUGAAACACGGCCCAGACUCCUACGGGAGGCAGCAGUGGGGAAUUUUGGACAAUGGACGCAAGUCUGAUCCAGCCAUUCCGCGUGCAGGACGAAGGCCUUCGGGUUGUAAACUGCUUUUGUACGGAACGAAAAAGCUCUUACUAAUACUAGGAGUCCAUGACGGUACCGUAAGAAUAAGCACCGGCUAACUACGUGCCAGCAGCCGCAGUAA
rnacentral:rRNA from 1 species